rnacentral:rRNA from 1 species
CGUGUGUGAUGAAGGUCUUCGGAUCGUAAAGCACUGUCGCGAGGGAAGACGAGCUGUUCCUUAAUACGGAACGGAAGAGACGGUACCUCGAGAGGAAGCACCGGCUAACUCUGUGCCAGCAGCCGCGGUAAUACAGAGGGUGCGAGCGUUGUUCGGAAUUAUUGGGCGUAAAGCGCUUGUAGGCGGUCAAUCAAGUCCUGUGUGAAAGCCCAUGGCUUAACCAUGGAAGUGCGCAGGAAACUGAUGGACUUGAGUGCCGGAGAGGGUCGCGGAAUUCCCGGUGUAGAGGUGAAAUUCGUAGAUAUCGGGAGGAACACCAGUGGCGAAGGCGGCGACCUGGACGGACACUGACGCUGAGACGCGAAAGCGUGGGGAGCAAACAGGAUUAGAUACCCUGGUAGUCCACGCUGUAAACGAUGGGUGCUAGGUGUGGCGGGUUUUGACCCCUGCCGUGCCGCAGCUAACGCAAUAAGCACCCCGCCUGGGAAGUACGGCCGCAAGGCUA